CCCUUUGACGUUAGCGGCGGACGGGUGAGUAACACGUGGGUAACCUACCUAUAAGACUGGGAUAACUUCGGGAAACCGGAGCUAAUACCGGAUAAUAUUUCGAACCGCAUGGUUCGAUAGUGAAAGGUGGUUUUGCUAUCACUUAUAGAUGGACCCGCGCCGUAUUAGCUAGUUGGUAAGGUAACGGCUUACCAAGGCGACGAUACGUAGCCGACCUGAGAGGGUGAUCGGCCACACUGGAACUGAGACACGGUCCAGACUCCUACGGGAGGCAGCAGCU
rnacentral:rRNA from 1 species